AUUCCAGCUCCAAUAGUGUAUAUUAAAGUUGUUGCAGUUAAAAAGCUCGUAGUUGGAUUUCUGGCGGGAGCGAUCGGUCCUUCACUCAGUGUUGGAACCUGAUUGUCUCCUGCCAUCCAUGGAGAAAACUUAUUUGGCAUUAAUUUGUCGGAGAUGGGACCCGCGUCAUUUAUUGUGAAAAAAUUAGAGUGUUUAAAGCAGGCAAUAGCUUGAAUACAUAGCAUGGAAUAAUAAGAUAGGACUUUGGUGCUAUUUUGUUGGUUUGCACACCAAGGUAAUGAUUAACAGGUACAAUUUGGGGUAUUCGUAUUCAUAUGUCAGAGGUGAAAUUCUUGGAUUUUAGGAAGACGAACUACUGCGAAAGCAUUUAUCAAGGAUGUUUUCAUUA
rnacentral:rRNA from 1 species